rnacentral:rRNA from 1 species
UACGAAGGGAGCUAGCGUUGUUCGGAAUUACUGGGCGUAAAGGGUGCGUAGGUGGCGUGAUAAGUCAGGUGUGAAAUCCCUGGGCUCAACCCGGGAAUUGCAUUUGAUACUAUCGCGCUUGAAUUCGGGAGAGGUAAGUGGAAUUCCCAGUGUAGAGGUGAAAUUCGUAGAUAUUGGGAAGAACACCCGUGGCGAAGGCGGCUUACUGGACCGACAUUGACACUGAGGCACGAAAGUGUGGGGAGCAAACAGG